rnacentral:lncRNA from 1 species
UGUGGAAGAGAAGUGAAGCGGGGAGGAGAACGAGAGAGGCGAAUGCUUUGGAGUAAAAAACGAAGACCAGGUUGCUCAUCCCAUCAGACAUGGCUGCUUUGCCGGCAAACAUCAGCCCAACUUGAGCGCACUCUGCCAUCACCAUCCCAAUAACUGGCGCUAAACCAACUUUUCCCAUCUCUUCUCUCGCUCCGAUUGCCAGUACGGGCUCUGGAAUUUGGGGCAGAAAGAUUACUUUCUUGAUGACACGUAUCAAAUGUUUACUCGAUAUUCUAAGCCAUCAUCAUAUUCUUUUCUGUAGGUAGAUACUUUGAAAUUCUGUAGCGAAUCAAGUAGUCAUCUAAACAGAUACUGCAUGGGAAGGUAUAUUCAACGGAAGAAGAAAUCAAAUUAUUAUUUUUUUUCGGUGUAUUAAUCCAGACAUCAAUACUUGAAUCAGUCGAUAGCUUUGCCGCCCUAGUGUCCAGCUCAAUUUGUGAGGGGAUGUAUCUUACAUUAAAUGUAAGAUAAAGAAAUCUUUUAUGUAGAAGAAUGAAGAUCAUCAUGCUUGCAUUAUCACCUGCUCUAAAUUAUUGAAUCUUGAAAAGUUUGACAUCCAACUCACUGACUUUGCUAGUCCUAUCAGCUGCAUGUUGAUAUUCAUUCUUGUACGUAAAUAUAAUUACUAAUCAAGGAUUGAUCAUUGACUUUUAAGUAGGUUGCAGGGCUAGCUGUGUAACCCGUCGGAUUCUCUUUAUUAAUAGUUAUGGUCAUUGUUAGUAAGAAAAUAAGAAGUGUCAUUUCUUUUGAUUGGGUUAUUAAGGGAUUUUGGGGAUUGAUUUUAGGCUUUUUUAAUUUGUUAGAGUUACUAAGAAUUUCCUAAUAUUACAUUUAUUAAUUACAUAAGACAUGUGUGCUUGUAUUAUUACUUACAUUUGUUACGUAUUUAUUAUUUGGGUUCGAUUAUAUUGGAACUGCUCUAAGGUAUAAUAUUUUUUUAUAAUCACACGAUUAAAGUUAUAAUUUUUUUUUUAUUAUUUAUCACUUUGCGUGUGUGACUGAGAUUCGUACUCCAUCAUACAUCAACUCCAACAUAACCAUAACCUUAUUAUUUACAUUUAUCAUAAAAGCUUGUAUUAAUUUUUACCACGCGAAAAUUACAAGCUAUCGACUAAUCUGUUAUUUACAUGAUUUCUCUUUAUAGAAAUAUUAUGGUAUCCGAGGAAUUGCCUCUGGAAGUGGGAAAUUAACAUAAUAUUUUUUUCUUUUGUUUUUUUUCCAAUACAUAUCACUUCAAUUACCGAGCUUUUCUAUUUCCCCAAAAGACAGUGUGGCGAGAUGCAAAAAUUCGUCAAAGGCAUAGAAAUUAUGGAACCAGCACUUUAAUUUUACACAGAAUCAUUUUAUUAUAGAUAUCGUGCAGUAGUUUAAUUUUACACAGAAUCAUUUACAACAUUAGACAUCGCAUUAAAUCCUUGGGCUACCUUCUGCAUUUGUGCUGGCUAUAAAUUUAACCCACCGGCUUGUGGCAACGGCAAACCGUUGACCCCCUCUAACCUAACUUUCUUAGAUUUUUUUUAAUAAAUAAAUGAUAAAUUAUGAUGAGGGGUCUUAUGCAACUUCACUCGUCUAAAUAAUAAAGAAAUUAUUGAAAUAAGUAAAUGAGAAAUUAUUUUACAAAUUUGAAGGACUUUUUUUUUUUAAUUCUGUUAUAUACAGAUUGUUACUGAUAUUACAUCAGACAUUACAAUUACAAUACAUCAGAUAUUACAAUUACAAUAUUUACAAUUGUAUCAAAUAAUAUAAUGCUCCACUCACAUUUCGUAAGAGAGAAAUUAUCUUCACUCAAUUAGUUGAUAAUUGAGAGAGUACUGAAACUAACUUCCAUAAUGCUCUGAUGGAGGCUCGAAUCCUUACACUCAAUAUUAUAAGUGCAAAACUUCUCCUAUUGGACCAAAUGCUCAUUCGUACUAAUUUGAGGGACUUAAAAACAUAGUAUUUGACCAAAAUUUUGUGAGUGUUGUGGCCUCAAUAGAAGUUGAGAAAGUCUUAGAUGGUAGGGACUCCACCACAUCAUCACAUCAUCAUCUAAUUACAUACCACCACAUGCAUAUACGUAAUGUACUAUGGUUAUUUUAAAUUUAGUGAUAAGUGUAUAUGUGGUGUCAUCCAAUUGGAUGGUAAGGUGACGAUAUGGUGGCAUGAUAUCAGUAUCACUCAAGACUUUCACAUUUUAUAAAUUUAUAUGAAAACUUUCAACCACGAAAGAAACAACCAAAUAUAUAUAUAUACAUAACAUGGUUGUUGGAGACUAAGAGUGGAGGAGUGUUUUAUAGAUUUAUAAUAUUGGUAUCAAUAUAAAUAGUUGAAAAUUAUAAAUAAAUAAUAUUAAAUAUCUUAAAUUUUAUCUUAAAACUAGGAAAUAGAAUCGCACUUCACGCAACUUUGAAAAAAGAAUUUAUUAUUCUCUUUUUUUCCUCAUUCUACUUUUAAUGAUUUAUUCUAUUUGAUUAAGAGGCAAGACUUCCAAAAAAGAUGAAAAAAAUAAAGUAAAGCUAAAAUCAAAAAAACUUUUUUAAUUAUUAAAAUUGCAUCAGCUAAAUUAACACGGUAGAAAUAGAAGUGCCAUAAAUGCACCUUGUCUAAGUCAAAACCUUGGAAAUUUGAGGUUGAUAUAUCACCGCAAGGCCACCUGGAGAAGGAGCAGAAAAUGUAUCACAAUAGCCUCUCAGUAUGUUUCCUUCUUCAGCAGUGAAUCCGAGAGAGGUGAGCAUUGCAAGCCAGCAAUUAUAGGUGAUGAUAUCAAUGGCGUGGCAACAGUCAGGGCUAAUAUCAGCCUAGCUAUUAAAGAAGAAUAUAACGAUCUCAUUUGAGUAUGAUUUCAGCUCCAUUAACGUGGUCCAGCACUCCGUUAGGCCUCCACUAGCUUCAAGUCUUGUUGCAAGAUCGUAGCAUGGUUUCAUAUUAUUGUUGAGGCGAUCACUCAUGCUGGUUGCAUUUGUAAUAUUUGCCAUGAUCAGGCAAGUGAGGGCCAAAAUGAAAAACACAUGUUUUAGAGCCAUUGCUAUUUUCUGUUCUUUUAUGUUGUGUUUAUGUGGGAUAUCAUAUUUUUUGUUGCUAUUUAUAAAUUAAGGUGAGGUAGAGGAGAAGAGUGAUUAAAAAUGUUUAUAAAUUAUUGCUUAAUUUAUGAUCAAGAAGGUUUCAAUUAGAGAAAAUAAUGAGUCUUUUGAUAAACUGUUACAUAUCGAUUGUGUAAUAACAGUCAAAUUAAUUAUGAGAAGAUGAAAAGCCAAAUUUGAAAGAAAAUUUCUCUAUUUGUUAGAUAAUAGAGAAUAUACAAAUAUGAGAAAUGGUGAUGUCACAUCACCUCUUGUAGUCCCAGCUUUAUAUAUAUAUAUGUGACGUUGAUUUAAUAAAUAGUGAGAUUGUGUGAUACUUCACUUAAAACUUACAAAAAUUUAUCUUCUACCUAAUGAGAGACAAAUCACAUAUCAAAAUGAAAAUUUGAGUUCAAAAUUUCUAAUUCAUCCUCUGUUAAAAUUCUAAGGUGUUUGGCAGAGCGGUUGUACGUAGCAAGUAACAGCUAGCUGAGAGAGAGAGAGAGAAAAAAAAAAAGAGAAAAAUUUCAUUCAAUCACAAUUCACAAAGAUUAAAAUAUGUACAUCAAGAGGACCUUGCACAAACCAAAAAAACCUGCUGCAAAAUCCUUCAAUGUUAUUCUUUCAUUUCUCUCACCCAAAUAUCUACAAUUGAACACACCAAUCUUCCCAAACUCUAAAAUUUUUGGUCGAUACACAGGUGGUACGCAUGUUUCUUCCGUAUCAUACAACAGGGCUUGAUGAAUCUCCCUCAACUCAAGCCAACUAGAAAGUGAAAAAACAAGCUAAUCAAUAAUAGUUAAGGAACGUAUUAGAUUAUUUAAUAAAUUCUGGUGCAUGUCAAAAUUUUAAUAUAUAUAUGUAGCAGAUCGAAUUUUAUACUUACUCGAAAAAGCAGCUUGAAUAAAGUUUUGCUUUGAGCAUGUUCAAAUUGCAGAGAGCUUCUUCAGACUUGCGAAUCUUCUUGCAAGAGAGGGACCUUUUGAUCGUCAGCAGCAUCUUUAGAAUUAUGGCCUUUACGCAGUAAUUCAUCCUCUCUGAUAUUUCCCCACGUUACAGUAUAGUAGCCCAUUCCGGUUAUAACUGCUCCUAUCACACUGUACAUGCAUGCAUUUCACUUCAUCUGUUAAUUGGAGGGAUUAAUUUGUUUGACACCCAACAAGAUUAAGAAUAACCAUCAUGUGCCAAAUGGUUGUGGCUCAGUUGACAGCGCAGGCUGAGUUUGUGGGAAGAACUCUCGGGUUUGAUCCCCACUAAACACACCAUUUGGAAGGGGUAAAGAGUCUUAACUGUGACUACACCUCGAAUCCGGAUUAGUUGAGGCCCAAUGCGGUCGCAGGACACCGGAUGGUUUACAAAAAAAAAAAAAGAAUAACCAUUAUGUAUAUGGCUAUCUUUAGUAAUUUUUUUAAAUUAUGAAAGAAUUAAACUUAAUUUUAUUUUAUUUAAAUAAUUCAUUCAGUAAAUAAUACAACAUGUUAUAUAUGUGCUGAAAAUAUAUGUAUACUCGUGUUCCAUAUAUAACAUUUUCUGACAUGUCAUCUGCUUGAUAAAUUAUAAACGAUAUGCUAUAUUAAGUAUUACCUUCCAUAAUGGAGAGAAUUUGUAAAGAAGGUUAAACCGAAAGCUGUGGCAAAAACAAUUCCAAAUGGUUUGAACAUGGGCACGUAAAGAUGGCCUUUCAUUUCGGCACACGAGACAUGGACGGUGCUACGAAUGACACUCCCAAAAAUUGCCUGUAACGAUUAACAAACCAUAUGUGUCUUUAAAAAUAAGGGAAUUAAUUAAGUUCAUAUUAUCUAUAUAUAGCCAUUUUCUAAUAUAGGCGUCCUUUUUUUUUAAUUUAUUCGGACACAUUUUAAGCUGUGUAGUUUAAUAGAUUUAGAUUUUAAUGCUAUUAAACCACAUGACUUAAUAACAUGUUCAUAUUUAAAAAAAAAAAAAAAGAGGUGCUCACACUAAUAUCUUUGGAGUGAUUGGUUUAAUUUUGGUAAUUAUAUUUGAAUCACUUACUGUUAUAAUAAUGAGGAGAAGCUCCAUGUUUAGCUUUAAUUUCCAAGCAUUGAUGUUUCUCUCCAUAAUCAGCGAGAAAAUUGAACACUGAAUAGUCCCAGCCAAGCUAUAAAAAGAGACCACUUUCAUCACUUGGGGAUACUGUUUGAUAGUUCCCACCUGACCAAAUUAAUUCGAAUUACACAAUUAAAUUCAGUGCGCUUUUGUCUCUGUGGUCGAUUUUAACGAGAAUGAAUUGAUCAUAAGAUCAAUGAAAUAUGAUAUUAAUUAAUAAUUUUACCUGAAUAAUGUUCCAUACGCAGACAGAUAAAGAAGAAGCCGCAAGCAAAGUGGAACCAAGGACCCAACGGUCUGGUGUUGAGUAGAAAAUGAGGAGUGGUGGAUUAAUUUUUGCUUCAAGUUUAUCAUCAGAAGCAGCUUUUCUCAUGGAUGGGCCUUUGUACACCUGUACAAAUAUAGCCCCCAUGAUCGAUAUCAAGGUGCCAAUUACUUUGACUCGGAUGCUUGAGCUUCUCCAAUCUAGUUUUGUUGUCCUGGGAUUUACGUUAUUAUUAUUAUCAUUAUUGGAGUUACAACCAUACUCUACAUGUCCAAAUAUCAUAUGGUAGUCCAAAUAUAUUUAUGAUGGUCGCUUCGGACUCAACUCUAUUGAGUCCACACAUAGCCAAGUUGACAUCUAUAAUUAAAGCUAAGCCCAAAACAGGAGAACUAUAUAGUAUAUAUAAAUAUUAAAUUGUUCCAAUAGGUGGUCUAAAACGCCACUAGAAAUGGCCCAUGGUGCCGAUAUUUUAUAUGUUCAGCAAGAAUUUUUUUCGGAUCUGGAUUUUAAUAUAUACGAGCAAAAUAAUACAAGUAAGUGAUGUUAAAAUAAAUAUAGUGCAACAGAGAAAUAGAUUUGGAUCAUGCAUAGAUGGUACGUAGUUAGUGUAUUCAUGUAAAAAAUUCAUCAAAACAAAGAUAUGUUAUCAAGAUCUCAAAUUGGUUGAUAUCAUCCCGUGCUCAUGAUGAUUUGAGAAAAAGAAUAAUUAAUUCAGAGGAAAUGUAUGUAUGUAUGUAAAUGAAGCUAAAGAGAAAAACCUAGUGAUGAUCGAAAGCAAGAAGGAGAUAGCAGGGAUCAAAAGGCCCAUCACGCACACAACGAUAGGCGAACUAUAAUACAAGCCGAAGAAUGCAAGGUUCUGAGAAAUAGCUACCCUGCAGCAAAAACAUAUAUUAAGGCAGAAAGUAAUUAAUUAGAACGAAAUAUGUAUCCAUCAGUAGCAGUGUUAAAGAAUUAAAACGAAACAAAAUUAAGGGAGGCUAUGAAAUAUACAAACCCGGUUAGGCCCAAGAAGAAGAAGCGCAGCAUAAGAGGUAAGGUGAAGAGUGGCUGCUCUAUUCUGCAGCAAGCAAAAUUAAUUUAAAAAGAUUAAUGGCAGACGAUCGACGAUAUUUAUAUUAAUAUAAUGAAAUAUUAUUAAAUUAAAUUUAUUGUUAUGUUGUACAUGGAACAUGAAGAAUUAAAAAGGAGAAAGAGGGGUGAUUAUUGUGUAACAACCUCCCCCCAGCCGCAGCCUCAGACCCGCGGUGAUGAAAGAAGAAGGAACAAGGAAGAAGAAGAAUGGAUCCAAGAGCAUUUGUGUAGGCAAUAAAAACAAAAGGGCUCAUUCCUCCAUUCAUGGCCGUUUUGGUCAAUAUAGUAAGCCCUAUUGUACAACCUUCCAUUAUCACCAUCAAUGUAAAUGGCACCAUUUCCUCCUCCAUUUGUCCUCUCACUAGUCCCAUCAUAUAUAAUUCGAUCGUAUGUGUCUCUGUUAUCUUUCACUCUUUAAUUAAUUUGUCUAAUGAAGCAUGUACAACAAGCUAUCUCUCUCGUAUAUAUUUAUGAGUGAAGGAAUUGAUCUAGCUAGGAGCCUGCUGAUGACUAGCUGACUGCUGAUAUAAUUUACAGUCAAAAAAUAAUGCACCAACUAAGAGCUUCCACAAUGAGAAUUGGAGAAUGACAGAGAGAGAUAGCCUUUCAGAAAGUUGUGAAGCUACUUUGUCUUUGUACGAGAAAUAGCUACUCGAUUUAGUGACUCAAUCUUUAUGCAAAGGGAGAAUAAGCCGACGUGGUUUGGUAAAAAAAUAUUAAAACUUAAGCAAUUAAUUAGAGAUUAAUAAUAAUGUGACGUGAAUGUUUUCAUCUGAUUUGUCCUUGCCCUUAAUCGUGAAUAUUUUUACUAUAUUUGGUCAUGUUCAAGACUAAUUAAAUUAAGUGCGGGGCCAGUAUAUGCAUGUUUUGUACUUUCUUGAGGGACGAUUUGUGGUGGACAUUAACAAUGUCCCUACCCUCAUCGAUUAUUUUGAAAGGUCUUGGCCCCCCACUCAACUUUUGUUUUGUAUUAGUGCUGAUACGCAAGCCUUCUUUUCUUUUUGAUACUUGAUGCCGGACACAGUGAAGUGUGCAUAGAUGGAAUCACACACAGCCCCGUGUGCUGGACCCAUAAUUUGUUGCAUUAAUUAAUGUCCAAGAAAAUAUUCAAUUAACUUUUUUUUUGUUUUUCAAAUUAUUACAAUUUACACGUAUAUUGUCAACCGGAUUCUGUUACAGUCCCCUUUCUCUCUAUACACACACAUUUUUCAGUACAGUUCAAAAAUCUAUUAUACAUUAAUUUAAAAAUUCUCUCUCACUAAUAUUUAGAUAGAUAUCUUCUUUUAGUCGAAGGUUAACAGUGAGCCUUCUAAAACUCGAACUCAUACUUUUAUAUGAUUAUAUCACUAGUUACAAGUUCAGUGGCAAAAGAGUCAAUUAAUUAAUUAAUUGAUGAUCAAUCCUUAACUUUUGAUAAAUCUUAACCAUUCAUUAUAAUUAAGCUUAGAUCAUGAGCAUUAAUUAGCUUCGUUGUUUAAUUUCUCCUUUCGGUUGGUGGCAUUUAGUGAUGUCUGGUUCUGUCUGGCUCAAUGCAUCAAAGGUGAUUGAACUUCGUAGAUCACGCUCCAUGCCGGGGACAGAGAAGAGCAUGGCACUUGUUUAUCUCAAAAGAGUUAACAUCACGGGCAACCGGCACACACUAGCAUCAGAAAAUGCUUUUGGAAUUCUCAAAAAGGACUGCUUGCAAGAGGCUUUCAUUUUUAUCUUUAAUGUUUUUUUCCAUCGACUCUACAGAAGAAUUUGCGCUUUCACUUGACAUCAGACAUCGGGAGUUGCUGUGAUAUCUUAGCAAAGGCUUUGACCCUCACAAUAAGAAUAUGAAAAGGAUUGGAUCUCCAUGGUGUAUAGAAUGUGCCAGCUAAAGCAUUCUCCUUUGACACCAGUACCGACUAACAAAGUUUUUUAGGUUCUGAAUCAGAGGCUCAGUGGUUGAAUAUCAUAUUUUCAGAGACUGAAACUCACUCAUAAGAAAUGCAUUUGAUGUUUUCUUCAUAAAGCAUAUCCAUUCGCAUGUGCCUGCAAGUCAAACUCGCAUAAAUUGUCUGGAAUAAUGAGAUAUGAAUACAUAAACAAUCUUUCAUUUUCUUAAUUACACUUGAGAGAGUAAUUUGAGUCAUAGGAGUUAGCGCUGUACUUUCCUUAAUCUGUCACAACAAUCUUUUCCAUGCAGAGCAGGAUUGAUUGAGUUUUGACCAACUCCAAAGCUCAACUUUUCUUUGCAGCGUCACAAACUUGAUGGUGCCGCCCAUGUUCCUGACUCAAUAUUACAAUUGAAAACAAAGUCUUCAUGUCACUCGCAUUUACAUACUCUUGAUAGUCUUCUUGCCCACCUUCAGGUUUACCAAUAACAAUAACAAUAAUAAUCGGAAGUUGAACUUGAAAAUGUCUUAAAUAAAAUAAAUCGAAUAUGAUCUUCUGUAUGACAAAUUCACAGGAAGCAUUACACAAAAGGUUUUCAAUGCGUUGGCAACAAAAUUAAACAAAAAAAAAUGUUUCAUGUAGAGAAGAUUAUAAUCCAUUCCUUCAAUAACUUGAAAGGAUAGACAGGCAUUAAUUGUCUCCUCAUGAACAGAGGCGCCAAAAAUUAACAGAAAUUAUCUUCACAUUCUGCAUGUUGACCCAUAAUUUCUAAUAAAAAGAAAUAUGUAUAUGGUUGAAGUGGUAUCAUAGGUCAUGGAUUAAAUGCUGUAGGACUGUCUAUAUAAAGGUAGAACAUUUUAAAGGAUGAAUGAUGAAAGCUAUCUAGAGCUGGUCCAUCACAACUAAAUUGGCAGUGGGGCUGGACCUCAAGAUAAGCAAAACCAAGUCCAUUUUAAGCUCAAACCUUAAUUUCUGCACAGAGGUAGCUUUCCAGAUAAAUGUUUCUAAACAUUUUCCUCUUUCUAUUUUCCAGAUAAAGAUGGUAAAAAUUACCAAUUUUUUUCUGUAGGCCUUUUUCUCUUUUGCAAAACUUUUAUGUUUCUUCAAAGUUGUUUUGCAAGAGGGGGUCCUUUUGGCUGCUUGAUUCUAAGCUUCUUACUCCAGUUUCCACACCUGAGUUCCCUUCUUUGGCUUUUCCCCACAUCACAGAAUAAAAACCAGUAACAAUUACAGCUGCUCCAAUAAAUCUGCAUUACAUUAAAAAUGGAAUGAUCACUUUCUUAUAAUAGAAGAGGAGGAGAAAAUCAGGACAGGAAAUAAGAGAAAUCUGACCAGUAACAUGUUCAAACAAAACUUCUUAUACAAGUCAAAACACCACCCAAAAUUAAAAAAAAAUGUACCUCCCAAGGUAGACUGUCUCUCCUAGGAAGAUGGUGCCCACCACAGCUGAAAUUACAAUACCCAAGGGCUUGAACAUAGCUACAAAUACAGGCCCAGUUCUGUGCAGGCACCAGGUACAAACACCAACUUGGAAUGCAGAGCCAAAAACAGCCUGCAUUUUCCAUAUUAAGGUUUCAAGACAAAAAGUGAAUAUAAUUUAAGCAUGUAGAUAAAACAUUCUUUUUCUUUUUACUUCUACUUACCGAGUAUAGCACAGCAACUAACCUCACACCAGGUUUUAAGCUCCAGCUACUUAGGUCUCUUUCCAUAACCAAACAGAGUAUUGCAGAUUGAAUGGCCACAAAGAAGCAGUAAAAAAAGACGACGAUCAGCUCAGCUGAGAAUUUCUUAAGGAUUGAGGCCUGAAAUAUACGAAAAAGACAUCAAUCUUAUAACUGGUUUUCACUCUCGCUAUUUCGUAAGAAUCUAACCUGUACAAUGAGCCAUGCUGAAGUGAACACACAAUCAAUGGCAAGGAGCAAUCCACCAAUGACCCAGUUUGUUUGCGGCACGAAAAAUUGAAGGGACAAGUUUGGAGGCGAAGAUGUCAUCAGAAGGUGGGGUCCCUUACAGUAUGCCAUGAUAAAUGCCCCUGUAAUUAACACUAUGGUUCCCACUGAUUUGGCUAGGCUACUGGAGCUUUUCCAGUCUAGUUUUUCCAUCCUGAAAUCACCAAGUUGAAUCAUUUUAUAUCCAUCAGUAGCAAUAAAAAUAUCACUCUAAGCAACUUAGGAGUCUUUUUCUGUUCCAAAGUUUUCUACCAUACUUAGCACAUUCAUUAAUUAAAACAUGAGUCAAAACUUUUUGAGAUAGAAAAGUCUGACAGAGAAAGGAAACUAAAAGUAGCUCAACCAUCCAGUCGCUGAAGAACUCUUCAGAUGAUAUGACUAUCAGAGGAGCUCAAAUAAGAAAAAACAAAAAGAUGUGAUUUUGGGCAACAAAAGAAUCCACUAAAUUAGGAGUAACAUUAUGACCACAAACUAUUUUUAUACAAACUAAUGUGGCACAAUAUGAUUGUUUGAAUGAAAAUAUAGAAUAAUAAAAAUAAUUAAUGGAGCCACGUGGUGAUUUUAUUCAACAAAUCAUGUUAUGCCGCAUCAGUUUGUAAAACGAUUGUUAGUAAAAGAGUUUGUGGCUGUGUCAUUGUUUCUAAAUUAUUAGCAACACAGAAGAAGUCACUAAAUUAGUAGCAAAACUAACCCCCCUUAAAUAAUGUCCUUGAAGACCAUCUUAAGGAAAGAAACCAUAAUGCCUAAAUGCCAGUAUUUCAAAGAUAACAAUAUCUAUCAAUAAUUGAGUCAUGAGUCUCAUGACCAUAACUAAACAGUAAUUGCAAAUUCAACAUCAGCGCUAAUGCACAUACAGACCUAUUAUAUUUCAUCAGCUGAGGCAGCAGAUCAAAUAAUUCUCCUCGAUGUUAUUACAUUCCCAAAUUUGCAAUAGAAGGGAGAAGGCCGCGAAACUUUAAAAGCCAGACCCACCUGCAUUGCCACUUUAAUUCUACAGCAAGCAAAUCUCUUGCAACAGACUUAAGGAAUGGAAGACAUCACAUAUCAUGGUUCCUUUAAGUUCAGUGCUGAAUUGAUUAUAACUCUUUGGGGCAGAUUAUCCACACAUGCAUUUUUCAUUUUAAUAAACUGGGAGGGGGCAUGUACCACAUCCACAGUGUAGUAAGAUAAAUAGGAAUGGAGAAGAGGUAUGUUAACAGAAUAGUAAGAGGAUUUUGGUUUUCUAGAACAGUAUAGGUAAAGCUUGGGUCAGAAUCAGAACAAGAGCUUGAGUAUCUUCUCCCUUAAGGACAUAUUGUCUAAGCUGCAAGACCAACAUAGCGAUUUCAGCUUAUCUGUGACCUCAUACUCAUCAGCCCCUUGUUAAUAGCUUAAAAGGCAUAGUGCAACUUCAGCAAUAACAUUAGAUCUGUCUAAUUAUCAGCAGCUCUUUUGAAAUUCCUUCGCUAACUCCAAACUGCAGUCACUGAUUGAUUGGGUGCAAAACCUUUUCCACAUCAAGUAUUGAUGUCUGAAAGAAUGAAUAAUUAAGGAGGGAAAGACAGGAACCCAUUUGUCCUUGCAUGGUGGAUUAAUUACAAAUAGCAUACUACUCUAAUCCACGAAUCAGACUGGAUAAUCAUUAUUUUGUAACUGGAAUACACUCUUAGCAAAUUUCAGCAGUAUGUCUAAUAUGUAAUUGCAAGCCUAUAAUUGGGGCUCACAAAAGUUAAUUAUGCAAUUGAAGUAGUGAAUCAGACACUCAUACAAAUGAAGAGAAAGAGAACUGAUUAUAUUAUUGGUUGCAAUUAAUUUGCAUCAGUAACAUAAACUUCCUAAACAGACUCCAAUGAACAAAAUCAAGAGAAAGUCAAAAUGAUCAUAGCAAAGGGGGGAACAUUACCCGAAAAUGAUGGCAAGAAUGAAGGUAAAACCCGGAACAAGAUUAAGCAUAGCCGUGGAAAGUGUAGGUGAGCUAUAGUAAAUCCCAGCGUAGCCAAAAAACUGAGACGAAGUACUGCUUGAAGUAAAAUAAAACAACAAACCCUUUAACAAACAACAUCUUUGAUUAUUACUAACACUGUGACACAGUAUAUGCCGCAUGUGAAUGAGUAAAAGCAAGAAAAUUUAUUAUAAUCAAACAAAAAGAAACCAGCCACAAGGUCAAAGAAGUAAAACUUAGCAUACCCAAGAAAGCCAAGUAGGAAGAAAGCAGAUAGAAUAGGCAAAGUGAGUGGAGGAAUUUGUGAUCUGCAUAGAGAUGAUGAAUUGAUUAAAACAUGAGAAGCUUUGAUCUUUGAGAUUAACGAAGGAUAAGUAACCUGUGGAAGAGAAGUGAAGCGGGGAGGAGAACGAGAGAGGCGAAUGCGUUGGAGUAAAAAACGAAGACCAGGUUGCUCAUCCCAUCAGACAUGGCUGCUUUGCCGGCAAACAUCAGCCCAACUUGAGCGCACUCUGCCAUCAUCAUCCCAAUAACUGGCGCUAAACCAACUUUUCCCAUCUCUUCUCUCCCUCCGAUUGCCAGUACGGGCUCUGGAAUUU